rnacentral:rRNA from 1 species
GCUAAUACCGCAUAAUGCCUACGGGCCAAAGAGGGGGACCUUCGGGCCUCUCGCGUCAAGAUAUGCCUAGGUGGGAUUAGCUAGUUGGUGAGGUAAUGGCUCACCAAGGCGACGAUCCCUAGCUGGUCUGAGAGGAUGAUCAGCCACACUGGAACUGAGACACGGUCCAGACUCCUACGGGAGGCAGCAGUGGGGAAUAUUGCACAAUGGGCGAAAGCCUGAUGCAGCCAUGCCGCGUGUAUGAAGAAGGCCUUCGGGUUGUAAAGUACUUUCAGUUGUGAGGAAGGGGGUAGUGUUAAUAGCGCUGUCUCUUGACGUUAGCAACAGAAGAAGCACCGGCUAACUCCGUGCCAGCAGCCGCGGUAAUACGGAGGGUGCGAGCGUUAAUCGGAAUUACUGGGCGUAAAGCGCAUGCAGGUGGUUCAUUAAGUCAGAUGUGAAAGCCCGGGGCUCAACCUCGGAACUGCAUUUGAAACUGGUGAACUAGAGUACUGUAGAGGGGGGUAGAAUUUCAGGUGUAGCGGUGAAAUGCGUAGAGAUCUGAAGGAAUACCAGUGGCGAAGGCGGCCCCCUGGA